rnacentral:rRNA from 1 species
UACGAAGGGGGCUAGCGUUGCUCGGAAUCACUGGGCGUAAAGGGUGCGUAGGCGGGUCUUUAAGUCAGGGGUGAAAUCCCGGAGCUCAACUCCGGAACUGCCUUUGAUACUGGGGAUCUUCGAGUCCGGGAGAGGUGAGUGGAACUGCGAGUGUAGAGGUGAAAUUCGUAGAUAUUCGCAAGAACACCAAUGGCGUAAGCAACUAUCUGGUCCUUAACUGAUACUGAGGUGCGAAGGUAUGGGGAGCGAAUAGG